GGUGUAGAAAAGUCUUAUAUAGAAAUUUGUCUCGAUAAUAGAAUUAGCAUAGAAGUUAAUCAGCCCAGCAAUGCCUAUCUCUUACUAAAACAAGAUCCACUCUUAUUGUAGCAUAUGGAGCUGCAGUUCAAGCUGCAAUUUUAGUGGAGAAGGUGACCAAAAGGUUCAAGAUUUGCUGCUUCUUCAUAUCACUUCUCUGAAUCUUGAUAUUGAGACUGUUGGUGGUGUGAUGACAAUCUAGACUCCAAGAAACACUACUAUCCCCACUAAAAAGAGCAAAUUAUCCCGACCAAAAAAGAGCAAAUUUCUAGGUGUGCUCAUUCAGCAUAUGGAGCUGCAGUUCAAGCUGCAAUUUUAGCGGAGAAGGUGACCAAAAGGUUCAAGAUUUGCUGCUUCUUGAUAUCACUUCUCUGAGUCUUGAUAUUGAGAUUGUUGAUGGUGUGAUGACAAUCUAGACUCCAAUAAACACUACCAUCCCGACCAAAAAAGAGCAAAUUUUCAGGUGUGCUCAUUCAGGUGUAUGAAGAGAAAGGAUAAUGACCGAGGACAACAACCUUCUUGGUAAAUUUGACCUUAAAGCACUUUAUAACUAUAUAUAUUCGUGCCAAUCAUUUACUUUAGCAUCAAACUUGACCUGGUUCAGUUCAUGGUGGUCAGACUGACCAAAUUUUGGUCUCAUAUUUUACGUGAUUUUUGCAAUUUUCUAGAACAAAAUUUAUACUUGAACUGC